CUCUGGGCCAGCAAACUGCGGGCUGUUUAUGUAGGGACCCGUGGUGGCAUCGGAGGUCCGUGUGCGGCGUAACAAUAUUUUUAAAUCUAUGCUCUUUAAAUGCCUCACUUCACCUCGCGGCUUUCAUUGCUGCUGUAAAUCUUUAGACCCAAGGCUGUUGGUCAUCAGGCAGACCUUUGAUGAAAUGUGACCAAUCUGUCAUUACGGUUGGUUGUCUAAGGAAUUCGCUUUGCAACCAUAUUGUCUUUUUUCACACCAUGUAUUGGAUAUUGGUUUCACAUUUUGGAGGAAGGUGUAAAUCAAUUACUUUGAACCUGGUGCUUUGUACUUGUACAGAUUUUAUCAAUUCUCGACAGUGAAGAGCCGAAACCGUUACCACGAGUCCUGUUGCUCAAGCUUCAUACGGACGACUGAAAUAAAUCGACAGUUAUCAAAGAUAAUGUAAUCAAAUUACUGGGUCCCAAACUAUUUGCUGUUCAUUGUCAUAGAAAUGUUUCGCCUCAGCGUGAUAAUAAUAAAAGCCUUUCACUAAUUUGAAUUAUUUCUGCUGCAGUGAAGCUGCAAACAUUUUCAAUUUGUAAGGAUUUAAGAGUUACGUCCCUUACCUUAAUUUCUCUUACAACUUCAGCUCUCUUAAUAAUUACGCUGAGUUCAAAUGCCGUCGAGGUCGAUUUUUAUCCUUUAUGGAGUGGACAAAAUAAGUACCAAUUGAGCACUGUAAUCGAUUAAUCUGUACCCAAAUUGCUAGCCUUGUGCGCCAAUAGAAAAAUUAUUAAUAAGCCCAAGACGGCAGACAAUUUAGUCACCUCCGCCCAAAAGAUAAACUACAAACGGCACUCUAUAUCGUAAAGGAAAGACACUGGAAAAUACGUUUCUGGAUAUGCACGUUCAACCCUUUCGCUGCGAAAUUAAACUUUAUUGUUAUUCCAGUAAUGAUGCUAAAUAUCUACCAAAAAACAGAACUGGUAUUUUCUGAAAGUCGCGUUCUCUCAACAAACUUACUCAACAGUAAAUAGUUUCAAACAAGACAUUCAGCAAUGGUUCUAACAACAAGCGAUGGUUCUCAUACUGACGAAUAUCAACAUUCUUCUUUUUGGUGAAAUAACAAAACAAAUUUUGCAUCGAGAUAAUUAUUAUUCCAGUGUAUAAUUUUGCAAGCAUGAUUGUGUAGGUAAAAUCACUUUGCAGUCAUGCAGUUCCAGUUUCAGUCUCAUUGUGCGACAACUUGGACAAGUCUCUUCUGACACUGACCGAUGCCUUGUGAGACCCUCCACCACAGCAUGUUGACCGAUAUUGGUUUGUUUACGUCUCUGUAACUUAGCGGUUCGACGAAAGUAACCGGUACACUUGGUACCAAUUUAAAAAAUUAAGUAUUGGUUGGUGGGAGCGUUCUAUUCGACAAAAACCCUACAAAUUGAUGCCCUUACACGAUCGCAAACCAAUGAUCGGAGCAAGUAAAAGUUGUUAUAUUUUGUUUGUUAUUUCAUUCUUUUAUUGAGAAAUAACUGAUGAAAUAGAAACAAUUUAUCAAGACAAAUAUAUCGUUAAAGGGAAGCAACUAUAAGUCCCCACUACACUAAUAUUUCAUGCUAUUGGUUUUCUUCACUUAAACCAUGUCUUGUUCCAAACAUUAUUGGCUAAUAUUGUAAGGCAUCUAGCCUCCACAAUACACAGCUAAUGACUUAGUGUAAUAAAUCUAGUAAAAAAAAAAAGUAGUUUUAGUAACGGAAAAUAUUUAGAGGAAAUCAAGCUUUUCUCAAUUCUUCAAUGUUAAAAAACAGCACUGGAUUAACCAUUAAGCAAAAAAAAGCAUGUGCUUAGGGCAUCAAGGGAAGCAGGAGCACCACAGAAAUGGUAAAUGUUUUAUGGCAUGCAAAAAAAAAAAAAAACUUGCUAAAAUAAUUGAAAUGGCUUAUAUGAUCAGAAGUAUAAUUUCAAAGUGUCCAUGGUAUCAUAAUAAUCAAAGACUGCAAUUAAAAAAAAAAGUAGCUGAAAACUUCAAAUACCAAUAAAAUGGAAAACUUUGGCAUCAAGGUUAAGAUAUUAUCACACUGAGUAUUUAACAACGGUUUUUUUUUGGUUUUUUUUUUUUGUUAACCAUUGAAAUUAGAGUGAAAUCAACUGAUCUAUUCAUUCCAUCAAAAUUGCCAGAUUAAUUAAUAAACAUUUGUGACUCUAAAAGCAG
rnacentral:lncRNA from 1 species